GACGAACGCUGGCGGCGUGCUUAACACAUGCAAGUCGAACGGAAAGGCCCCUUUGGGGGUACUCGAGUGGCGAACGGGUGAGUAACACGUGAGUAACCUGCCCUUGACUUCGGGAUAACUUCAGGAAACUGGGCUAAUACCGGAUAGGAAUCCUUGCUGCAUGGUGGGGGUUGGAAAGCUUCGGCGGUUUUGGAUGGACUCGCGGCUUAUCAGCUAGUUGGUGGGGUAGUGGCUUACCAAGGCUUUGACGGGUAGCCGGCCUGAGAGGGCGACCGGCCACAUUGGGACUGAGAUACGGCCCAGACUCCUACGGGAGGCAGCAGUGGGGAAUAUUGCACAAUGGGCGGAAGCCGGAUGCAGCAACGCCGCGUGCGGGAUGACGGCCUUCGGGUUGUAAACCGCUUUCAGCAGGGGCGAAGCUUGUGGUGACGGUACCUGCAGAAGAAGCACCGGCUAACUACGUG
rnacentral:rRNA from 1 species